UAAUCGAUUGCCCGUUUUAUCAGUAAGUGAUUCAGAAUUCGCAGAUCUUCUAUUUAUUUGACAAUAAUAUCAUAUCAAUCUUUUCUCUGAUAAGAAAAGUGCUUCUAAAUCAACAACACAGUUUUUUUUUUUUUUUUUUUUUUUUUUUUUUUUUUUUUUUAAGUUCUUCAUUUCUCUUACAUUAUUUAAAUAAGUUGGUAUUAAUGUACACUUUUUAAUGAGUUUCUCUUUUUUACAGUUGCUAAAUAAAGUUUAAUUUAUCACAUUUAAUUAUAAAAUUUCUGCUAAUGUAUCAAAUCUUGAUAGAUCAUCUAAACAUGUAUGCAUCUUCAGAGGAUAGAUGUAUACGAAAUGAAAAGGAUAGGAAGAAUUCAGCUUUCAUUUAACGUUAAUAUACUGCCCGACAUCGAAAAUGAAACAACAUGGUGAUUUGUAUAAAUAUGCAAAGUUCGGGGAAUACGUGGCUAAAAGAGUCAUGGAGAUGAUGUAAGAUGCAAGUUGGUAAUAUGAUUAUAGCGCAAGAUAUAAAAGGAAGAAAGCGGCGGACGACCCAACAGUCGCUACUCAUUGUUUCUCAGGAAAUCCAUAACUUCGAGAAAUUCAACAUACAUGUGUGAAUUGACAGGCACGUAUGAAUGAAAAGAUGCCUAAACUACGCUAUCAUAGACGGUUCGGGCAAACUGGCCAUUUUACGAGGGGUCAAAUUAUACACUUAAAUACGGUUGGUUGGUCUUACCGUUGUAUCACGGCUGAACCGCAUGUAAAUGUAUUCACUGUGCAUAGAACUUACUCUAGCUGGAUCGAUGAAGGAAAUGUAAAUAGAUGCGGAAGACGAGGUUCAUCUAAACGUACUAGGUCCAUCUAGAUUGACACAUGCGUACUGUGGACAAUUUUCAGAAUGUGCAGGGCGCUUUGAAUGCUCCAAUAUCUGGGAGAAUAGUUUCCCGACGUUUGGCUGAAAGCGGCUUACACACAAACCACCUUUGCGAAGACUGCAAUUAUCCCCAAACAAUCGACACGAGUGCGAUGGAAUCGACGAGUUCCUUGGACAUCUGAAUGGUACAGUGUGGUGUUCAGAGGCGAGUCAUUGUUUGUUUACCUGAUGACAGUCACUGAUUAGGAAUCUGGAAGCAUCGGGAAGAUAGAGUCAAUUCGACUACUUUUGCCGAAUGCUACACAGCAAUUGUCCAGCAGUGUAUCUUGUCAAGGAUGACGCGGCAAACAUCUCGAGACGGAGAUCCCCGAGGUAACCUGCCAGGCACUAUACAACGAUACCUGAAAAGAAAAAGGUGAAGAAAAUUGAUACCAACCACAAACAUCGUUACAAGGCAAAUAAAUUUUCCGUAGCAGAACUAAGUAGAGGAGAAGAGGACAAAUGCAAAGUGGAACUGACUACAGAUUUUAGACAAAUCUUCAGAAGACUAUAAUUGACUGCUUUACAAAAGCCUCAACGUAAAGAACAUUCUACUAAUAUGUAUUUAUGUUACCACUUAGAUUUAAAAUAAAAUUACGUAGUUUGCAUCCUC